UUUGCACUCUCAAGUUGUCUAUAAAUUGUGCAUGCAUAGCAUUAGGAUGAGGUAAAAGAGAAGAGAAGAGGAAGUAGUAGGUAUACAUAAAUAAUGGAAUGCUCUAGAAGAUCAUCAUCAAGAGAUGUUUCUCUUAAGGAACUUAGCAGAAGGCUUGCUGAGUUUGCUGAAGACAGAGGCUGGGCUCAGUAUCACAGCCCCAGAAAUCUUCUUUUAGCUCUUGUUGGGGAAGUGGGGGAGCUAUCUGAAAUAUUCCAAUGGAAGGGAGAGGUUGAAAAAGGGCUACCAAAUUGGAGCUCAGAAGAAAAGGAACACUUAGAAGAAGAAGUCUCAGAUGUGUUGUUGUAUUUGGUGCAGCUUGCUGAUGUUUGUGGCUUGGAUCUUGGUCAAGCAGCUCUCUCUAAGAUUCUCAAGAAUGCCAAGAAAUAUCCACUAAAUAAUAAUUAAUCCAAAAAUACUUUUAAGUCCAUGACCUUCACAAAAUUUAGACGAAUCAGUCUCUGACGGAAGCAUUUGGACGGAUCAGUCCCUAACGGAGGCAUUUGGAAAGAGGGACUGAUCCGUCCAAAUUUUAUAAAGGUCGGAGACUUAAAAGUAUUUUUCAAUGGUCAGAGACAGAAAUGUUUGCAGGACAAAAGGUCAGAGACCUAUUUAUCUUUUUCUCUAAUAAUUAAUACAAAAACCAAUGCAAACUUCAUGUCACUUCUAUAUAUUCUGAAAAAGCUUUUAAGUAUACCGAUAUAUCGGUGUUUUAAUAAAUUUUAA